GUCCACGCCCUAAACGAUGUCGACUAGGUGUUGGGAAGGAGACUUCUUUAGUUACCGUAGCUAACGCGUGAAGUCGACCGCCUGGGGAGGUACGACCGCAAGGUUAAAACUACAAAGGAAUUGACGGGGACCCGGCACAAGCGGUGGAUGAUGUGGAUUAAUUUCGAUGCAAACGCGAAAAAACCUUAACCUACUUUUGUACAUGUGCGGAACUUUGGUUGAGAGCUGAAGGUGCCCGAAAGGGAGCCGCAACACAGGUGCUGCAUGGCUGUCGU
rnacentral:rRNA from 1 species